rnacentral:lncRNA from 1 species
AAACAUGUUGCAUCUGCCUCGCUCACAGGUUUUUCACAGCGCAUUAGGAGAACCUUGUAGAAUCAGUCUUUGGGAUCACACUGCAUUUUCUGUGCGACUUCACAUCCUUCCCCUGUGGACGAGCUCCACUCUGCUCCCCUGUCCAUCUGGAUAUCCCAGCUCACCCCACAGAGUCCACUUCUGCCAAACAUGACAAACUUCCUCAACUAGAUUGGAUUAGAGCAGAAGAGGGAGCGUGCAGUGUGCAGGCCUCAGACUUAAAUAGUCUGCAGGCGAAAAAGAGAGUGAUAGAGUUAGUGCCAAGGAAGCAUAAUUAAUGCUCUUAAUUGGGCCUUUCCUUACAGUGGAGACUGAUAGUCCACUCAUACUCCGCUGUGGCUCCAGGGCCAAUGCCAUGCGCUGUUCAUGACGUCUGUCCUGUGCUUGUCUGAUCUCAUACAGUUGCUGGCCUUUUCUUAGCAAAGAUUUGUCUCUGACAACUCUCAGCUGUGGUCAGAGGGAGAUGAAGAGACUCCUCGCUUUGUUUUUCAUACUUUAUCAUGUUUAGAAGUGAUCGUCUCCAGCGGUUCUUGAUUAAUUCAGUCCCAAAAAGUCCCCUUUGUGUCCCCUCUGAUUGAGCUUUUGUCCACAACAAGAUGGAUUUAACCUCUUGAAACCUGUUCCUCUCUAGAGGUCUCACUUACAAGCCCUCUCCUCCUCCCUGUGACCCCAGGCUUAGUGACAUCAGAUGGGCAGCGAGGUGUAAAUCCGCUGCUCCCACAGACCCCCGCCUAAGUUAAGUCAGGUGUGACACACACUCCUUCCUGGUGGGGAAAUGUGGUCUGUCCACUCGGACCGAGAAAAUAAAGGUAGAAAGGUUUGUUUUUUUAUGCUGGACAGAAAACAAGAACAUAUCUUGGGCUCCGGUCAUCCUGGUUUUAAUACAGAUAUGGGACAUACACUGGUCAGAUCUUUUUGUUGAACCUCUUACUUGAGCCGAAUAUGUAAACAUGACUUUCAAAUACAUUGAAUAUUUUUUAUAUCUAGACUGGUGUGUGGUCUAGAUUUCAAAAAUAUGCAACGUAUAGCAUGAUCAGACUUAAUGGACCUUUUUUGGACUAUGACAUUAAAAUGUUCAACAAUCAAAUUAUUUAAAAAAUAAUGCAGAUAAAAGUCAAAACCAAUAGCAAUGAUGCAGCAUAAAAUUUGACAACAAGAUUUUAACAAACCACAGGCAACAUCCAAAAAACAAAAGGAUCAAUAUUAAUUAAGUGGACUUAACCUUUGAAAUAAUGACUCUAAAAACACUGUUACGAAGAGAGAAAGUAUUUGGUCAGGCUUAAAAAUCACUGAAGCACAAUUCAGAACCACUGUCAGAUGUGUUUACUUUUGAGUCAUAUUCAACCGCUGCUCUCAGAUAUUUAACGGUAAGUGGAAAUCUCUUGAGAUUUCUGUUUGUAGCAUUCAACUGCAGCAAAUAUAUAAUUAAUAUCAAAUUUGAUAUCAUAUUAUAUAAGUACCUCCAUGUAAGAUCCUGCAAAAAUGUUUCGAAGCAAUGAAAUACAAAGGUAUAAAAAAUUUAUAGCAAAAAAGUGCAUGAAAUAGUUCAGGAAUGUAUAUCAAAAACCCUGGUAUACAGAGAUAUGAUGAUAUAAUCCGUACAGACAAAUUAUUUGAUUAUAUCCGCUGUUGGCUUACGAAAAAGGUCUUCAACUUUAAAUGAAAUAAAAACUUUUUGUGCAUCAAAGUGAAAUAUAUUCAAACCUAUGCAGACGUAUGAAUUUGUGUGUGUACUGUAUGUAUAUGUGGUAUUUGUCUGUGAACUAUUGCUUAUGUAUAUAAAAAUAUGAAAAUAGUAUGUCUUAUUUCAUGAACAUUGUUUACAAAACCAUAACAAUUUAUUUGUAUGAAGGGUUUGAAGAAAAUGUUGGUGGAGAAAAAAUAUCUUAUAGAGGAAGAUUAUUGUAAAUUGUUUAUCUCUUUGAACUCUUUUUUUCACCAGCAGGGGUCAGUAGUGCACUUCUGUCAAAGCUCUUCACCAGCUGAAAACUCUCUCUCACACAAACCAGCUGCUCUAGCUUUUAACAUGAGCUGCACUGAUUUUAUUUCUAAUAUAUAAUAUUCAUUAACCACAUAUGUCUGUUGGCUCAAUUCUGCGUUAAUGCUAAGUAUAUACCAUUUAGAGUUGGGCAAACAUAAAACCAUAAAAAGGAGGCCCUCUCAUGAAGGUGAUUAUUUGAAUGCUUAUUAAAAAAAAUGCAGAUGAAGGUCAGUAACUCGUGGACCAACAUGGAGUGGUUAUUGGUCAUUUUUAAACCAUAAUGAACUUUAGGAGAAGGACAGAAAGGUAGAGACAGAUGAUACCUUGUUAUUGUCAAAUCUAAUCAGCAUUUACAAUAUUCACCUCAUUGAAUCCAGAUAUCUCAUGACAUUCUGGCCUAAAUUUCAAUUCACUUUAUUUCUGUGUCUAAUUACACACUAUUAGAAAGUUUAUCUAUUUUUGCUGUCUGUAUGAGGGGCUGUCACUGUUGAUUCUGCAGUAUUUUCACUGAGAGACAAUUAAAAAAUUAUGAGGAAUAGAUAAAACCGAGUAAAGGGAGGCUUAUUUAAAAAGAAAUAAUCUAAUUUUUAAUUUGCUUCAUCUGCACAUGAGAAAGGAUGCUGAAAUGUUCCUUGACUCUUCGGUCAGAUAGAAUGGCAGCUUAGUGCCCAACACGAGGAGAGACUGACACACUUUCUCUGUGCCUCCACCCUCAGGCCUGGGCUAAUUAAGAAGGGACUCUGGUUUUAUUUACUGUCAGCUCCUGGCCCCUGGGUGUGUGUGUGUUUGUGUGUGUCUGUAUUUGUGUGUGUGUUGAAGUGUGUGAGAGAGAGCAGGACUGAUUCUCCCCUCUCUGAGACUGUUCUCAGUCACACCAGUGAAGUGAGGCCUUUACCAUUUUACCCACAUUCAGCCAAAGGCACAGAGAUAGUGCUGAUGCUGCUGACCAUUAGCCAUUAGCUCCAGCUUCUUUUUCUUAGAGGGAUUCUCCUCAGAGAUGCAGAGAGGUGCUGAGCAUGGCAGCCAGCGCUGCGGGGGGAAAUGUAAUUACUAUGGCCCCAAUCUGAUGAAGAUAUCACAGAUUCAUCAGAGACAUGCUGUGGACAUUCACUGUGAGAGAAAGAAUAAAACCUGAUGCAGCUCAUUAUAUCAUCUUUAUCACACAAUGUUUUCAAGACGAUAACCCUGAAAAUAAUGGAUCUGUUUAUGCAGAACACACACAAACACUGACACACACAGUUGACCUCUUACAGUCUGCUAAAUAAAUUGAAAUACUCAAAUCUGAGUUCAGGAGUGUAUUUAUGUCAGAUAGACAUUUGUGACAUCCCAAACAGAUGAGCCUAAAAUGAAACAUACACACGUGUGAUGUUAAACUGAAAUAGUGGAAGGUACCAGGUUGUCAAAAUUUUCAGUACCUCAAUGCUUUGAUACUUUUCAAUACUAUUUGCAUAGAACAGUACAGUAUUCAUAGUUUGUUUGUUUUUUUCUUUUAAAAGCAUGAAAAGCACUAAUUAUUAUUAUAAGAAGUGAAAAAAAAGAUCUUCACCCAUAUUUUGAGCCAGAUGUAACCACAUACAUGUGACAGAGUGAGCAAAGAUUAAGUGUAAAUUGAGUGAUCCAAAAGUAAACAAAUCAGCAAGAGUGAAAAAUGAGAAGAAACUGUGUGAUUGUUUUACACUCUAAGGAACUUAUAAACACAUCCACGGGUGUUGGAUUUGGUUUCCUUGCAGUAGGGCCAUGCACCUUCUACUCAGCUCCGCCCUCCAUCAUAACCACAACACUGCUGAGACACUUUAUUCACAUGUCAAUAAUCACAGAUUUUGUUCAUUUAUGAGCACCUAGAAAAGACACCUGAUGUUUCUGCAGACAGAGAGCGGAGAAGAGAGACAACAAUGUCACCUGGUCCCUUUAUGUCUUCUCUGGUCCCUGCCUGCAGACUGUUGAUGGGACGCUGGCAGCACAGCUCAAUGACUGAGAGCCUUAUAGUAAUGAAUUUUAUUAAUCAGAGUAUUUCAUUUUUUAUCACUAUUACGAUUUUGUCAAAUGUUGACCUGUGUAGAGGGACAUUUUUUUAUAUUUUUUUGAAAAUGAAAAUUAACAAGACUAACCACUCUGGAUGCCUUUUUUUAGAUUGUGAAAAAGUAAUAAUAUUUUACCAAUCUCUGAGAGAGUGUGAAAAAAAGUUUAACACAGGUAAGAUUUUUAUUGAUUUAUUUUUUAUUUUUCAAAAGACACCCUCUAUGAAAAUCUUAAACAGUACUUAGGUGUAUAUUUUCUCUUUAAUACUUCAGUGUGAGUUUGUUUGUUUUUAGACAGUCGUCAUUCCAAACCGAGCAGAUCCAUCUAAACCUUCAUAUAUCUACCAAUAAACUUGAUUAUCUGAAAAUUUAAACUUUCUCCCAGGUUAAAAAGGUUAGUUGUUUUUCAGAUAGAGGCCUGUUUUUCCACCCUAUUCUCUUUAACCUUGCACAGCCACUUCUGAUGAAUCCCCACAGCCUGUGUUGACUGUGGAUGGUCAUUUGUAGUUAGGCUGACAGUGGACAUCCGCCCAACAUUGGCUGAUGUUGAUCAAACAGAACCUGCAGUCCCCCACUGGCCCCAAGC